UACGUAGGUGGCAAGCGUUGUCCGGAUUUAUUGGGUUUAAAGGGUGCGUAGGCGGUCUUAUAAGUCAGUGCUGAAAUAUCCCGGCUUAACCGGGAGGGUGGCAUUGAUACUGCAGGACUUGAGUAAAGUUGAGGUUGGCGGAAUUGACGGUGUAGCGGUGAAAUGCUUAGAUAUCGUCAAGAACACCUAUUGCGAAGGCAGCUAACUAAGCUUUAACUGACGCUGAGGCACGAAAGUGUGGGGAUCAAACAGG
rnacentral:rRNA from 1 species